CUAUCCUCUUUCUCCCGUUGCAUCGCCACCUGUAGCUCCUCAGUUAGCAGGGCACGAACCUGGCUCAUACGAGAGAAUAAGUCAACAGAGAAUCUGCGAUCUGAAUGGUCGUACCAGAUGUCAAUCAAACCAUGCACAGUCCAGCCUGCUCCAAACUUCCUCUCUGCUCAGAAGCACCCAAGGCAUAAUAGGCACAAACAUUCUCUGUGGAGAGAGAAGAAGAGAUUACAUUGAUGUCGACAACGAUGGGUGCAGCCUACCACGGUCUGAAGAAGUUAAUGUUAAGGUUAAGAAGUUAAUGUUAAUGUUAAGAAGCUAAUGUUAAGGAAGUCACACUGCUUGCUUAGCGAGUACCGUUUCCUCCUGAUUCGGCUCAUACCAAGGCUCAAACCCAGCACCUCUGCCUCGCUAACACCCCUGACCACCCUCCAGAAGCAUCUUACCCUGUUGCGCCACCAAAAAGCUAGCUAUUCGGCAGCACCAGUAGAGACAUUUCAGGCUGAGGAGUGAGUUUCACAGAUCGCCAUCUGCUACAUUCACCCCCCAAACCCACUCCACAGCGACCCCAGCAUUGAGCUGAGCACAACUGAUGAUCCGGAACACAGCACCAUUGUAAAAGACGUCAUGCUGCUUGCUUAGCGAUUACCGCUUCCUCCUGAUUCAUUCAUACCGAGGCUCGAACCCAGGACCUCUGCCUCGACACGUAACCGCCCUCCUGAAGCGUCUUAUACAGUUGCGCCACUGAAAAAGUUGCUAUUCAGCAGCGCAAGUGGAGACUCUUCAAGCUGAGGAGUGAGUUUUACAGAUUGCCAUCUGCUACACUAACUUGUUUUUCCAAUUCAUUUCUGCAUGGAUAAAUAGCAAAAUUGCAUGCUCACAUGAAGAUGCAAACUGACAAUAUUGAGGAUAAAGUGUUUGAAACAUUCAAAGAUUCACUGAAGUUUAACUUUGAGUGAAACAAAUGUAUAAAUGACAACCAAUAUUUCCUCCUCAUCAUGCCUUUAAUAAACAUCUCUACUGAUAUGUACAAUGUAUCGUUUGAUUUUCUUAAAAAUUCGAUGAAUCUAUACAAAGGAAAAACAUUUAAUGGUUAUUCAGCUAUGAUACCCAAUAAAACAGAAAAUUAUUAGUUAAAUAACAAACAUCCACACAAUACAAAAUGUACCAACAUAUGAAGAAAUUGGUAUCUUUAAAGAGAGGUUUUCUACAUUAUACAAUUUAACAGGUCUUAAAGAAUAGGACAUAAUAGAAUGGAAGAAAAAAUAGUAGGCUAACUAACGUGUCAUAACUUAAAACCUAAAACUGACCCAUACAGUUGUGGAGGAUGACAGUGUAUUUGGGUUCUGAGACAAACAUUACUGCACUAUAACGUCAUAUAAAACAUAUUUA